AGUGAACGCUGGCGGUAGGCCUAACACAUGCAAGUCGAACGGCAGCACAGUAAGAGCUUGCUCUUACGGGUGGCGAGUGGCGGACGGGUGAGGAAUACAUCGGAAUCUACUUUUUCGUGGGGGAUAACGUAGGGAAACUUACGCUAAUACCGCAUACGACCUACGGGUGAAAGCAGGGGAUCUUCGGACCUUGCGCGAUUGAAUGAGCCGAUGUCGGAUUAGCUAGUUGGCGGGGUAAAGGCUCACCAAGGCGACGAUCCGUAGCUGGUCUGAGAGGAUGAUCAGCCACACUGGAACUGAGACACGGUCCAGACUCCUACGGGAGGCAGCAGUGGGGAAUAUUGGACAAUGGGCGCAAGCCUGAUCCAGCCAUACCGCGUGGGUCAAGAAGGCCUUCGGGUUGUAAAGCCCUUUUGUUGGGAAAGAAAAGCAGCAGGUUAAUACCCCGCUGUUCUGACGGUACCCAAAGAAUAAGCACCGGCUAACUUCGUG
rnacentral:rRNA from 1 species